rnacentral:rRNA from 1 species
ACGGGGGCCCGCACAAGCGUGGAGCAUGUGGUUUAAUUCGAUGAUACGCGAAAAACCUUACCUGGGCUUGAACUGUACCUGACAGGUGUAGAGAUACACUCUUCUUCGGACAGGUAUAGAGGUGCUGCAUGGUUGUCGUCAGCUCGUGUCGUGAGAUGUUGGGUUAAGUCCCGCAACGAGCGCAACCCUUACUCUCUGUUGCCAUCAGGUAAUGCUGAGCACUCUGAGGGAACUGCCGGUGACAAACCGGAGGAAGGUGGGGAUGACGUCAAAUCAUCACGGCCCUUACGUCCAGGGCUACACACGUGCUACAAUGGCCGGUACAAAGAGCUGCGAUGCCGCGAGGUGGAGCUAAUCUCAAAAAACCGGUCUCAGUUCGGAUUGCAGUCUGCAACUCGACUGCAUGAAGUUGGAAUCGCUAGUAAUCGUAGAUCAGCACGCUACGGUGAAUACGUUCCCGGGCCUU